GUUUGAGACGGCGCGUCGCCUCGCUGUCCAAUCGGCGGCGCGGCGCAGACUCCCGGCAUGCCCGGCCCGGCAGGGCGGGGGCGGCUCCGGCUGCUCUGGCGGAUUUGAAUGUGGAGACCAGGUUUCGGCGCCAUUUUCGAGUGGAGAGCGAUUAUUGCGGCGGCGGGCAGGGAGAGCUGUCGGGGUGGACGAGCCGACGCUCCUCUUCUUUUAUAACUCUUAUUAUUUUUUAAGUCUUAAAAACUUCUAGAAAUUAAAUUAAAUGCAGACGGUAAGGGGAGAGUGUAGAGGGAGCCGCGCGAGGGGAGGAUACGGACUAACUGAAGAUAAGGCAGACAAGACGGGGGACGUUAACCGAAGAAAGGCAUAUGCGGAUUCUGGGGUUAACAAAUACCCGGAAAAUCUUUAAAAAAGCUCUCCGAAAAAAUAUGUAAAAAUGUUUUAAAAUUAUUUCAAACACAUGUCGUUGGAUUUGAGGCGUUUACGCUUUAACCGAAGCCGUUUUUAGUGCUUUUUUACGUUAAGUUUGAGCGGGAGUGGCUACGGGCUGUCAUCGCCGCAAGCUAGUUAACCAGCUAACCUUAACUAGGGAACACUGCUUACACUCACGGCAUGUUCACCUUUAUUUUAUAAUUACUAUUUUAUGAUUUUUUUUUAAACACUAAUAUGCAGCUAGAUUCGAAUGACUAUUUGCAGAAUAUUUUUCAGAUUUUUUUUUCUUUCACCCCCAUAUUUUCUGGUGAAGAGACGCUUAUUUUGAAGCCGUAUGUUUCGGAGCCUUUGUGGUCUUGCUGCUACCAGAGGUGGACUUCAACACUGGGAAUCUGCUUAAGUGAGGUCUGGUAGUGCUGUAGCAGCACAGAAUGGUUUGUGGGAGUUACUAGGACGCAGACUGUCCUGUGCUGCCUCAGUAAUGCCUGGACAGACUGCCUUCACUGCAAACAGGCAAAACGCAUGUAAAGCAGUGUGGGAGGACUAGAAAAGCAGACUGAGCACAGGUCUUCAUCCCGUGUCUGGCCGCCAUGCUGUAGCAGCACGUAAAUAUUGGAGUUCAAACCCUGCUGAUGCCUCCAGUAUUGCUCGUGCUGCUGGAGUAAAAGCUAGCCACUGCCAUCUGUUGGCCAUUCCUCAUCAAGUGAUUUCAAAAAGGGCAGUCAUGCUCUCCUUACACACCAAUUACUAAAAGAAAAGUCUUGUUCAUUGUCUAAUGGUAAUUGUGUGGUAAAUGGCAGUUUGUGUCAUAGAACAGAGGUAAUUGUCUUUUGGGUACCCAUUGCUUGGCUGCCCAGUGAACGAAGUGAAACCAAAGGAAACUCUUUCAAGGGAGAAACAAACCUUUUUAAUGUGAAUGUUAUUGUAUUUUGUUUACUUUCAAAUAAAUCCUCACUUUUUAAUUCAAA